UACGUAGGUCGCAAGCGUUGUCCGGAUUUACUGGGCGUAAAGAGCGCGCAGGCGGCUGGUCAAGUCCGAUGUGAAAUCUCCCGGCUCAACCGGGAAACUGCAUCGGAAACUGAUCGGCUUGAAGAUGGGAGAGGGUAGUGGAAUUCCCGGUGUAGUGGUGAAAUGCGUAGAUAUCGGGAGGAACACCAGUGGCGAAGGCGACUACCUGGCCCAUUCUUGACGCUGAGGCGCGAAAGCUAGGGGAGCGAACGGG
rnacentral:rRNA from 1 species